UACGGAGGGUGCAAGCGUUAUCCGGAUUCACUGGGUUUAAAGGGUGCGUAGGCGGGCAGGUAAGUCCGUGGUGAAAUCUCUGAGCUUAACUCAGAAACUGCCAUGGAUACUAUUUGUCUUGAAUAUUGUGGAGGUAAGCGGAAUAUGUCAUGUAGCGGUGAAAUGCUUAGAUAUGACAUAGAACACCAAUUGCGAAGGCAGCUUACUACACAGUUAUUGACGCUGAGGCACGAAAGCGUAGGGAUCAAACAGG
rnacentral:rRNA from 1 species